GCUGGGCAUGGUGGCGCAUGCCUGUAAUCCCAGCUACUCAGGAGGCUGAGGCAGGAGAAUUGCCUGAACCCAGGAGGCGGAGGUUGCAGUGAGCCGAGAUGGCGCCAUUGCACUCCAGCCUGGGUAACAAGAGCAAAACUCUGUCUCAA
ensembl:misc_RNA Metazoa_SRP Metazoan signal recognition particle RNA